AGCUUGCUCUCGGGUGACGAGUGGCGGACGGGUGAGUAAUGUCUGGGAAACUGCCUGAUGGAGGGGGAUAACUACUGGAAACGGUAGCUAAUACCGCAUAACGUCGCAAGACCAAAGAGGGGGACCUUCGGGCCUCUUGCCAUCAGAUGUGCCCAGAUGGGAUUAGCUAGUAGGUGGGGUAACGGCUCACCUAGGCGACGAUCCCUAGCUGGUCUGAGAGGAUGACCAGCCACACUGGAACUGAGACACGGUCCAGACUCCUACGGGAGGCAGCAGUGGGGAAUAUUGCACAAUGGGCGCAAGCCUGAUGCAGCCAUGCCGCGUGUAUGAAGAAGGCCUUCGGGUUGUAAAGUACUUUCAGCGGGGAGGAAGGUGUUGAGGUUAAUAACCUCAGCAAUUGACGUUACCCGCAGAAGAAGCACCGGCUAACUCCGUGCCAGCAGCCGCGGUAAUACGGAGGGUGCAAGCGUUAAUCGGAAUUACUGGGCGUAAAGCGCACGCAGGCGGUCUGUCAAGUCGGAUGUGAAAUCCCCGGGCUCAACCUGGGAACUGCAUUCGAAACUGGCAGGCUAGAGUCUUGUAGAGGGGGGUAGAAUUCCAGGUGUAGCGGUGAAAUGCGUAGAGAUCUGGAGGAAUACCGGUGGCGAAGGCGGCCCCCUGGACAAAGACUGACGCUCAGGUGCGAAAGCGUGGGGGAGCAAACAGGAUUAGAUACCCUGGUAGUCCACGCCGUAAACGAUGUCGACUUGGAGGUUGUGCCCUUGAGGCGUGGCUUCCGGAGCUAACGCGUUAAGUCGACCGCCUGGGGAGUACGGCCGCAAGGUUAAAACUCAAAUGAAUUGACGGGGGCCCGCACAAGCGGUGGAGCAUGUGGUUUAAUUCGAUGCAACGCGAAGAACCUUACCUACUCUUGACAUCCAGAGAACUUAGCAGAGAUGCUUUGGUGCCUUCGGGAACUCUGAGACAGGUGCUGCAUGGCUGUCGUCAGCUCGUGUUGUGAAAUGUUGGGUUAAGUCCCGCAACGAGCGCAACCCUUAUCCUUUGUUGCCAGCGGUUAGGCCGGGAACUCAAAGGAGACUGCCAGUGAUAAACUGGAGGAAGGUGGGGAUGACGUCAAGUCAUCAUGGCCCUUACGAGUAGGGCUACACACGUGCUACAAUGGCGCAUACAAAGAGAAGCGACCUCGCGAGAGCAAGCGGACCUCAUAAAGUGCGUCGUAGUCCGGAUUGGAGUCUGCAACUCGACUCCAUGAAGUCGGAAUCGCUAGUAAUCGUGGAUCAGAAUGCCACGGUGAAUACGUUCCCGGGCCUUGUACACACCGCCCGUCACACCAUGGGAGUGGGUUGCAAAAGAAGUAGGUAGCUUAACCUUCGGGAGGGCGCUACCACUUUGUGAUUCAUGACUGGU
rnacentral:rRNA from 1 species